GACGAACGCUGGCGGCGUGCUUAACACAUGCAAGUCGAGCGGUAAGGCCCUUUCGGGGGUACGACGAGCGGCGAACGGGUGAGUAACACGUGGGUGACCUGCCCUCAGCUCUGGGAUAAGCCUGGGAAACUGGGUCGUAAUACCGGAUAUGACUCCAUGACGCAUGUUGUGGGGUGGAAAGCCUUGUGCGGCUGAGGAUGGGCCCGCGGCCUAUCAGCUUGUUGGUGGGGUGAUGGCCUACCAAGGCGACGACGGGUAGCCGGCCUGAGAGGGCGACCGGCCACACUGGGACUGAGACACGGCCCAGACUCCUACGGGAGGCAGCAGUGGGGAAUCUUGCGCAAUGGGCGAAAGCCUGACGCAGCGACGCCGCGUGAGGGAUGACGGCC
rnacentral:rRNA from 1 species